AGGAUGUCUAUGGGGCACAGGGUGCGGACCAGAGAAGAGGAUCUUGAGUGAGUCUCUUUGCAGAAGUAAAAGUUUACUACACAGCCGGGAGGUGGUGGUGCACACCUUUAAUCCCAGCACUCGGGAGGCAGAGGCAGACAAAUCUCUGUGAGUUCGAGGCCAGCCUGGGCUACAGAGUGAGUUCCAGGAAAGGCGCAAAAGCUACACAGAGAAAUUCUUUCUUGAAAAAAAAAAAAGUUUGCUACACUAAUAGUACAAAGUGUUUGUCUCCCAUUUUGCCCCCUAUAGCCAUGCCGCCACCACCUCAGAGUACAUCCUACUUGGGACUAUUGAGGUCUCCUUGAAUUCCAGGGCAGCAAAGCAAUGGAGGGCACAUUAUGAGGUCACAAAGAAGGAACACUGUGGCCAGCCCCCUUGCUUGCCAUGACCUCAAGUUGCUGUGUCCUUGACAGAAGGUCAGAAAUCCUACCAGAGAUCUCACAUCCCAUUUUCUGUUUACCAGAUUAUGUAAUCUGCUCCUUCCCUUUCUCUCUGUCGCACAAUGGCAAGCACGGCCAGCUGGUCUGAGCCCCUCCCUCUGGGCACUGAACUACCUUUGUUUAUAUUUCAUUCAAUCUAAUGACCCAGUUUUGUGUGCCCUCUUCCCUGGCCGAAGUCCUACAAAGGGAUCCAAGAGGAUAUGUUAGACACAUAUUACUAUGUGUGUAGACAUGGAAAAUAAGUAAAAGAAUAGAGACAGUAUUUGGCUGAGAAAUGUGUCUUGGAUGAGAUCAGGAGGAAUCUUUGCCUGGGAAAAAACUUUGGGUCCUACUCCCACACCAAGCUACCAAGAUGACACCAAUUGUAAUCACAGCUGUGAGGAAGACUGUAUUCAAGUUGUUUAAGAGAAGAACUGUCUUCUCUUCCAAAAAUGAAUAACUGAGAGGCUAGAGGAAUGUCAAAGGAGGCAGAGUCUCAUAGAACGAGAAGAUGUCCAGCAGUCACAGAAGGGACUACAGACAGGAAGGAACAAGACUCGGGGCAAAGUGUCACCAUGAACAUGGAAAUGUCUACAUUAUUGUGGAGACUGGAUCAGCAUGAAGGGAGUGUCCAUGGAGAUCAAGAGGAAGGUUAAGAACUGUUCCUUAUUUCCUAUGGAACAUUUGUGAUUCCAUGGUUGUGAACUAGCUCUCAUCAGUGUCCCGAAAUACACAGAAGGAUUCAAAUGGGUUACUGACAGGAAAUGAGACUUUGAUAGAAAACGUACAAUAAAGAAUUGAAGAAGUUGAAACCUCUUGCAACCUUUCAAAAGCCUGCUUAAUAUGAAUACCAUCUUUAAUAUUUUAGAACCUAAUUAUUACAAGACACUGGACCUGUAAUAUGGUCACACCCAUGUAUUUACAUUCCUUUUAUUAAAAUUUAGUAGAAAUGAAUAAUUGAAAAAACAUAGCUUAAAGUGGUUUUGCAGCUACAAGUUAAACCUUGAAAACAGAUCUACAAAUAAUGACUAUAUCCACUUAGAAUCUAAAGAGUGUUUUAUUUUAUUUUUUAGAGCCCGACAAAUCACAAUUGACUUUAUAAAAAGCAAAAUAAAUGUUCACUGGCUAUGGGCAUGCUACCUUAUUGAUAUGC